CCACCAUUCACAUUUACUGGAUUGUCACGGGUACUCAUUGGUUCCAUACUAGACCCACUGAACAUUUCUGUGUGAGUUUUAGUACAUGUCAAGUGGCAAUACAUACACUACCAACGGAAUCUAGCUUAGUGAAAAAUGAUAUUUGAUUUACUUGUCUCAGGCUAUGAUGACCAUGUAAGUUGCUGCACUUGGAAGCUCUCGAGGUUAGCAGAAAGGAAACAUGUUUGUUUGAAUGGAUUUUUCCUUACAUAUGAACAUUGUUUCAAAGUUUCUGUAACAAAAUGUGUCCUUACCCACAAAAACAAAAAGAUGGAAACAUUUGUUAGCAAGUAGGGAAGAAGAACAUUAAUUGCUUGGGAAAGACUAAAAACAAAUAAGCAGGAGCUUAAAUGAGAGAGAUUUGAAUGGUUCAAAUGUUGGAAGAAGAAGAAGAAGAAGAAGAAGAAAGCAAUAAAUUCGAAGUUGGAAGAGUCGUCGAUCGCAUUGUAGUUUGCAGCUGUCCCCUACCCUGCCCUACUACUAGUGUCGCCGUCUGGAUUUGAUUCUAAUUU
rnacentral:lncRNA from 1 species